AGAAUCAACGCUGGCGGCGUGCCUCAGACAUGCAAGUCGAACGAUUAAACUUCCCUUCGGGGAAGACAUAAAGUGGCGCACGGGUGAGUAACACGUAAGUAAUCUGCCUUUGAGUGGGGAAUAACCCGGGGAAACCCGAGCUAAUACCGCAUAAUGCAGCGGCACCGCAAGGUGACAGUUGUUAAAGGAGCAAUCCGCUUAAAGAGGAGCUUGCGGCAGAUUAGCUAGUUGGUAAGGUAACGGCUUACCAAGGCUACGAUCUGUA
rnacentral:rRNA from 1 species